UUGUCUUUUAAAUAAAGACCAGUAUGAAUGGCAAGACGAAAGUUCAACUGUCUCCCUAAAUUAAUCAGUGAAAUUGAUUUCUCCGUGCAGAAGCGGAGAUAUAAUUAUAAGACGAGAAGACCCUAUGGAGCUUUAAACAUAUAAUCAAUUGUAUUUCAUAAAAUCCAAAAGAUAAAAUAUAAAAUAAAACAAUAUGAUUAAAAUUUUAGGUUGGGGCGACCACGGAGAAAAACAAAACCUCCGAGAUGAAAAGAAUAUCUUAAUUUAAGAACCACAAUUCCAAAAAAUAAAAUAUUUAACAUAAUUGAUCCAAUAUUUUGAUCAACGAACCAAGUUACCCUAGGGAUAACAGCGCAAUCCUCUCCAAGAGUCCCUAUCGACGAGUGGGUUUACGACCUCGAUGUUGGAUCAGGACACCCCGAUGGUGCAGCCGCUAUUAAAGGUUCGUUUGUUCAACGAUUAAAGU
rnacentral:rRNA from 1 species